UAGGGAAUCUUCCGCAAUGGGCGAAAGCCUGACGGAGCAAUGCCGCGUGAGUGAUGAAGGUUUUCGGAUCGUAAAGCUCUGUUGCCAGGGAAGAACGUCCGGUAGAGUAACUGCUAUCGGAGUGACGGUACCUGAGAAGAAAGCCCCGGCUAACUACGUGCCAGCAGCCGCGGUAAUACGUAGGGGGCAAGCGUUGUCCGGAAUUAUUGGGCGUAAAGCGCGCGCAGGCGGCUACUUAAGUCUGGUGUUUAAACCUUGGGCUCAACCUGAGGUCGCACUGGAAACUGGGUGGCUUGAGUACAGAAGAGGAAAGUGGAAUUCCACGUGUAGCGGUGAAAUGCGUAGAGAUGUGGAGGAACACCAGUGGCGAAGGCGACUUUCUGGGCUGUAACUGACGCUGAGGCGCGAAAGCGUGGGGAGCAAACAGGAUUAGAUACCCUGGUAGUCCACGCCGUAAACGAUGAGUGCUAGGUGUUAGGGGUUUCGAUACCCUUGGUGCCGAAGUUAACACUAAG
rnacentral:rRNA from 1 species